rnacentral:rRNA from 1 species
UACAUGGGGUGCAAACGUUGCUCGGAAUCAUUGGGCGUAAAGCGCGCGUAGGCGGUUACUUAUGUCGGAUGUGAAAGCCCUCGGCUUAACUGAGGAAGUGCAUCCGAAACUGGCGAGCUAGAGUAUGUAAGAGGGUCGCGGAAUUCCCGGUGUAGAGGUGAAAUUCGUAGAUAUCGGGAGGAACACCGGUGGCGAAGGCGGCGACCUGGGACAAUACUGACGCUGAGGUGCGAAAGCGUGGGGAGCAAACAGG